GAUGAACGCUAGCGGCAGGCCUAACACAUGCAAGUCGAGGGAGGAGCCUUCGGGCUACGACCGGCGUACGGGUGCGUAACGCGUAUACAAUCUGCCUUUCACAUAGGGAUAGCCCGAAGAAAUUUGGAUUAAUACCUAAUGGUAUAUAGAUGUGGCAUCACCUUUAUAUUAAAGCUGAGGCGGUGAAAGAUGAGUAUGCGUUCUAUUAGCUAGUUGGAGAGGUAACGGCUCCCCAAGGCGACGAUAGAUAGGGGUUCUGAGAGGGAUAUCCCCCACACUGGUACUGAGAUACGGACCAGACUCCUACGGGAGGCAGCAGUGAGGAAUAUUGGACAAUGGUCGGAAGACUGAUCCAGCCAUGCCGCGUGCAGGAAGACGGCCUUAUGGGUUGUAAACUGCUUUUGCAGGGGAAGAAUAAGGACUACGCGUAGUUUGAUGACGGUACUCUGCGAAUAAGCAUCGGCUAACUCCGUG
rnacentral:rRNA from 1 species